CCUCAGCAUGCCUCUCACAGACUCCAUGCCUGUACACCUGCUCCAACACCUUCACAGGGCCUGAGACGGGCCUUCCCUCCUCGCCCUCCCACGGACUACAGCAUCCACGUGUGACCCUCAGUCUUGGGGUUGGACUAAGGCUGGGUCAAGGUUAUGGGCGGAGGGUUGUGAGCAUUCCCUAACCCCUUUCUAGUCCAUGUCGGAAUAUUCCACGUUCUGUAAAUACGUACUUCAGUGAGGGAAAUAAAUACUCCAGAUUAGACUAUGUGUAGUGGAGGUUUUAUCGGUUGUCUGUUUGGGUAUUGAGUGGAGAUUGUGAUUGGCUGUUUGGGGUGGUGUAAUGUGUGUGUGUGUGUGUGUGUGUGUGUGUGUGUGUGUGUGUGUGUGUGUGUGUGAAAAAUAUUGUGAUCCUCGGGUCAGACCCCAUAUGAAACACUUCCCACGUGGUUGGUAGUUACGUUUUAUUUCCCCCCUAGUCCAAGAAUUCUGAAUGUUAAGACACACACGAAUGUAUUUUUGCCGUAGACUAACACAGAGUGGGAUUAAUAAUUGUACUAAACCUGCUGCAUAUCACUCCAUCAUAUCACUGUUGUCUUUGUAUAUAUUAGUGUGUGUAUGUGUGUGGGAAAGGGUGCGUGAGCGUGUGUAUUUGUGUGUGUGUGUUCAAGUUUCCAUAUAUAGUGUGUGGGAGUGGGGUGGGGUGAACGUUUGUGUGUGCGCGAGUUUCCAGUCUAACCACAGAAUAUUUGUCUCCGCCGCGCCUCUCCGUCGGGAAAGAGGUGGGAAGUAGUGACUUGGGGUUCUGACCUCUCUAUGUGCUAAGGCCAAAUAAAUCAUUACUACAUGUGCCCAAAGUGUGUAACUACUUGAAAUUUGGUCCUUCUGGUUAACCUCUCUGCUAACUAACUAACCAACCCUUUUUCCUGUUGCUGGUAGAUAGAAAUUCCUUACAAUCUAAGUUCAUUAACCUUAAUUUGGAGAGCCUAUUGAUUUUGCAUUUAAGUAUUGUCCAUGAGUCUUGAAUUUGUAUCUUAUCUGCUUUGAAUUUUUUGCCGUCACAUUACUUUUCUGUUGUUCUAAUGGAUUGAUUUAUAUCUCGGUCAAACAUAGCCUUGGCAACAUCUUCUUAUGCAGGACUGACUUCUAGCUUGAGAAUAUGCAGUAAGCCCUCCCUGGCCAGCUUCAUCUUCUAGCCUCUUGUAGUUUUCAUCCAUUCAGCUUUUGGUGGGUUAUCUUCUGUCUCUUGGUCUGUAGUGCUCUCCUUACAGUAAUGCUGGAAAAUAGUAUUGUGUUGGUAAGCAUGCACUGGGUGAAGCUGAAAGGUGUAUCUGAAGAAUGAGUUUUUAAUUAGGGGAUCUUCAGCUGUCUUAAGUAACUAAUUGGGGAGGAUGUUAAUUUUACAGCAAAAGAGGCAUGAGAAAGUUGGGGAACCUCUGAUGCACCUCUGAAUGGUCUCAAUGAAACUCUUUAUAUUAUUUGCUAUAAGAUAGAUUUCCAAGGGACUUAGCCCUCCUACAAAGUAACAAUACAUUGGUCACAGUCUUCCUGUAGUGUUCCGUGUCUCUGGUGGGAAGGGGGAGGCCGCUGCAUGGGGUGUGGAAUGGUCGCCUUUUCAGAUAUGGCUUGCAAGCUUCACUGGUAUGCUGCUCAUGUGCUUGUGCUCGGCUGGCUGGAAGCAGAAAAGGGUAACGCCCCACAGACACAUCUAGGCAAAGUGCACGGCAGAAGUGACCACCACCACAGCAGUUGAAGCAAGACUGAUCUACUUGGCUGACAGCUGAACUGCACUGCCUCACCUAACCCAGCCUCGCCUCUACCCAACCUCACUUGCAGGCAGUUUGUAUAGCAGCCUUGUGGAGGGUGCUUCCUGGAUGUUCAAACGCUGGACUUGAAGACGCCAACGAGUGAAGUGCCAACAUCACGGCCAAGGUGUGUGACUCCCUCUGAGCUCUGUGACUCCAUCAGUAAGAUCCUGAACCACCUGCACCGCCUGUCUGUGCCGCGCAAGUCAAGCUCUCGGGACCUCGGAGAACUGGCGGAACUCUUUGAGGAUUCCUGUACUGAGCUGCAGGUGUACUAAGCAGGUGCUCCCUCAGUAUGUUCAUCACAUCCCCUGUAGUGGAUUCACCAUUUGCUCAAAAUCUGUCCGUAUCCUUUGCUGCCAGAAAGGUGUCGGCUCCUGCAGGUCCUUUGCUCCUCUCUGCUCGGCCACACAGUCCCAACACCUAUCUCUUCCUCUCGUGUGUUACCUAUAGCUAACACAUGAGAGG